AACAAACGCUGGCGGCGUGCCUAAUACAUGCAAGUCGAACGGGGAAAGUCCUUCGGGACAGGUACUAGUGGCGCACGGGUGAGUAACACGUGGAUAAUCUGCCUUCUGAUGGGGAAUAACUAGCCGAAAGGUUAGCUAAUACCGCAUAAGACCACAGUGUCUUCGGACACAGGGGUUAAAGAUUUAUCGUCAGAAGAUGAUUCCGCGUCCGAGUAGCUAGUUGGUAGGGUAACGGCCUACCAAGGCGAUGAUCGGUAGCUGGUCUGAGAGGAUGAUCAGCCACACUGGAACUGAGACACGGUCCGGACUCCUACGGGAGGCAGCAGUAGGGAAUAUUGCACAAUGGAGGAAACUCUGAUGCAGCGACGCCGCGUGAGUGAUGAAGGCCUUCGGGUUGUAAAGCUCUGUUCUACUGGAAGAAAAAAAUGACGGUACCGUAGAAGAAAGGACCGGCUAACUUCGUGCCAGCCGCCGCCGUAAAAC
rnacentral:rRNA from 1 species